UUGAAAUUUUCCUUGAACAUUUUUUCCUUUUUUCAUAUAAUCAAUCACAAUAUGAAAAUCGUAUUAAUGCAUGUUAAUUGCUUGAUUGAAUUCAGCCUUUUCUGUUGAAAAUUGAUACCAAAAGCAUUUUCCUUUUUCGGAAUUCUCACUCUUUUUUGUUGCUCCCUUCUGUUCACUUUUACUUAAUUAAUUUUCGGAGCUAAAUUCAAUUAUAUAAUCUGAUAUUUUAAGACUAAAAUUUAGAUGUUUGGAAACUAAAAUUUUCCUUGAUUUUUUUUUUUCUCUUUUCACAAUAUGAAAUCGUAAUAAUGCAUGUUAAUGGCGUGAUUCAAUUCAGCCUUCAUUUCAAUUGAUAUCACAAGCUUUUCCAUUUUUCGGAAUUCUCACUCUUUUUUGUUAUUCUCAAAAGUGAAACGCGAAAUUCACCUUUUUAUUCUUUUACAUUCUUUUGAUACUAACGUAACUUGUUAAUUGUUAUCUUUGUUGAUUUUAAUUUCUUUUCCGUUUUGCUUGUUUUUGGAACUUUUGCAGAUCUCAGUAUAAUCAUAUGUUAUCGCGAUCAUAGCAAUACGUAGAACUAGAAGCCAUCGCUUCGUUUUUCAGGUGGAGGUUGAAAGUCAGCAUGGCUGGGAACAUGAAUUUAGUAUCUCCUUGCUGAGGCUUUUGCAAUGCAUACUGAUGCAGCGUCUAGUAUUAGGUUCCAAGUUCGAGUUGGGUCCGCAGAGCCAUUUGAGUUUGAUACUGUGAUUUCAGGAGAUCGUGGAUGGCGAUGAGAUCUGGAGUUUGAUUCUUAGAGAUAAGGACUAAGAAUGGUUACUGCUAGCAAACUUUAUACAUUGCCAAUAUUUUUACAAUAGGAGACACAAUGUAUUAAUUUAAUCUUGGACUUCUUAUCUUUCUCAGUACAUGAACGAAAUUAUACAUGCAUCCUCAUUGAUUUCUUAAUACAUGAACUAAGUAGUUAACUCA